rnacentral:rRNA from 1 species
UACAGAGGGUGCAAGCGUUGUUCGGAAUCAUUGGGCGUAAAGCGCACGUAGGCGGCCUGCUAAGUCGGAUGUGAAAGCCCAGGGCUCAACCCUGGAAGUGCAUUCGAAACUGGCGGGCUUGAAUGUCGGAGAGGGCAGUGGAAUUCCGAGUGUAGAGGUGAAAUUCGUAGAUAUUCGGAGGAACACCAGUGGCGAAGGCGACUGCCUGGACGAACAUUGACGCUGAGGUGGCGAAAGCGUGGGAGCAAACAGG